AUUGAACGCUGGCGGCAGGCCUAACACAUGCAAGUCGAGCGAGCGGCGGACGGGUGAGUAAUGUCUGGGAAACUGCUUGAUGGAGGGGGAUAACUACUGGAGACGGUAGCUACUAACGCAUACCAUCAGAUGUGCCCAGAGGGGGUUAGCUAGUGUGUGGGGUAACGGCUCACCUAGCCGACGAUCCCUAGCUGGUCUGAGAGGAUGACCAGCCAACUUGGAACGUGGACACGGUCCAGACUCCUACGGGAGGCAGCAGUGGGGAAUAUUGCACAAUGGGCGCAAGCCUGAUGCAGCCAUGCCGCGUGUGUGAAGAAGGCCUUCGGGUUGGAAAGCACUUUCAGCGGGGAGGCGUUACCCGCAGAAGAAGCACCGGCUAACUCCGUGCCAGCCGCCGCGGUAAUUC
rnacentral:rRNA from 1 species